AAUUGAUCCGACAGACUUUAGCUAGUCUUAAAAAAGGUUGUAAGUUGAUUUUGUUAUCAGCACCACAAGCAACUGAAUACUAUCCAAAAAUUGGUUUAAGCAGCAUAACAGCGCAUGGCUAAUGUCGGAUUUAGAAGAGCUUCUGUAACGUUGGUAUCUUGCUUAUAACAAACGCCUCAAGAGGGACUGUCAACGCGCGGCGUUUCCAGUCCCAUUGAGCCGCGGUGGUUGCAGUUGUUGUGUUUGGGUUUAGUGGUAAUGCGUUGCCAGCCCCUUAGGCGGGCGUUAUGCUUAAUCCAUUAAAAUCAAGUGGUUGUGGUUUUCGAUUUCUUUGGCACUUUGUUCAGGUUUUGUCGGCAAUUCAAUAUUGUUUUUCGCUGCCUAAUGAAGUUGCAAUGUAUCUGGCGCUGAAAAAUCGCAGUGAUUGCCUC
rnacentral:rRNA from 1 species